GACGAACGCUGGCGGCGUGCUUAACACAUGCAAGUCGAACGGAAAGACCCUGCUUUUUUGGUGUGCUCGAUGGCCGAACGGGGGAGUAAAACGUGAGUAACCUGACCUUGAUUUUGGGAGAACUUCAGGAAAGUGGGGCUAAUACCGUAUAGCAGCUCCCGCUGCGGGGUGGGGGUGGGAACAUUUCGGCUGUUGGGGCUGUACGCGCGGCUUAUCAGCUUGUUGGUUGGGUAGUUGCUUACCAAGGAUUUGACGGGUAGUCGGCAUGAGAGGGUGACCGGGCACAUUGGGACUGCGAUACGGACCAGACGCGUACGGGAGGCAGCGGUGGGGAAUCUUGCACAGUGGGCGGGAGCCUGAUGCAGCGACGCCGGGUUCGGAAUGACGGCUUUCGGGUUGUAAACAGCUUUCGCCUGUGACGCAGCGUGAGUGACGGUACUGAGUAAAGAAGCACCGGCUAACUACGUG
rnacentral:rRNA from 1 species